AUGAAUUGCAUGAGUUGGAACUGUCGGGGGGCUGCCAACAAACCGAUAGUUCGCGACUUAGUUGGCAUGGUGAAGGCAACACAGACAAAAAUUUUGUUUUUAUGUGAGACUAGAUAGAGUUCAGAAAAAAUAAAAAGAUUACGUGCUAGGUUAGGCCUUAGAGGUUUUUCUGGUGUCAGCAGUAAUGGGUUGAGUGGUGGCCUUGCUCUUUUCUGGUGUGAUAGUCUGCAUGUUGAAGUUCAAUCAUCGAAUGACAAAUAUAUUGAUGCAUAUGUGCGGCUGUCUGAGCAUGAUCCUUUGUGGCGGUUGACAUGUGUGUAUGGGGAACCAUGCACCGAAAAUCGACAUUUGAUGUGGACUCUCAUGACAAGCCUUAAACAACAAUCUGAUCUUCCUUGGUGUGUUAUGGGUGAUUUUAAUGAGGCCAUGUGGUCCUUUGAGCAUUUUUCGGUGACACCUCGCAGUGAGAGCCAGAUGCUUGCAUUCAGAGACACACUAGAGGUAUGUGAACUUGUGGAUCUUGGAUUCUCUGGCUUACCGUUCACUUAUGACAAUAAGCAGAGAGGCAGAAAGAAUGUGAGGGUACGUCUGGACCGGGCGGUUACUGAUAACCGAUGGCGGGAUAUAUUUGGGGAGGCAUGA
rnacentral:rRNA from 1 species